GUUGAACGCUGGCGGCAGGCUUAACACAUGCAAGUCGAGCGGAGAGAAGUAGCUUGCUACUGAUCUUAGCGGCGGACGGGUGAGUAAUGCUUAGGAAUCUGCCUAUUAGUGGGGGACAACAUUUCGAAAGGAAUGCUAAUACCGCAUACGUCCUACGGGAGAAAGCAGGGGAUCUUCGGACCUUACGCUAAUAGAUGAGCCUAAGUCGGAUUAGCUAGUUGGUGGGGUAAAGGCCUACCAAGGCGACGAUCUGUAGCGGGUCUGAGAGGAUGAUCCGCAACACGGGGACUGAGACCCGGACCAGACUCCUACGGGAGGCAGCAGUGGGGAAUAUUGGACAAUGGGCGGAAGCCUGAUCCAGCCAUGCCGCGUGUGUGAAGAAGGCCUUUUGGUUGUAAAGCACUUUAAGCGAGGAGGAGGCUACUUAGAUUAAUACUCUAGGAUAGUGGACGUUACUCGCAGAAUAAGCACCGGCUAACUCUGUGCCAGCCGCCGCCGUAAGAC
rnacentral:rRNA from 1 species